AUGUUUGACAACAAUGACGCUUGUUCACAUUCAUGUCGUUUAAUGCCAUGAAAGCACAGAUUCUGCAGAUGACAGUUCAGUGACAGGCUCUUAAUGUCUCUCAAUUACCGCCCGUCAGCAAAUAAAACCGACACAAACUGCGGUAAAGUGCAGGAAUCGAGUGUAACGCGACUCACCUAAUGACAGUCUCUGUUGUGUUUGUUUUGCUCGCGGUGUAUCUGCGCACCUCUCACCUGCUGCUCCUCCAGACACUUCUUCACAUCCACAGACUUUCAGAUCUGCUAGAAAGUUCUCCAGAUUUUCUUUAUUGUGACGCUGCUCUCUUGUGACACACUGGAAUAUGAACCAUCAGCAUCAGCAGCGCAGCAGGUGAGUGAUCUUAUGAUGUUCUCUUGCUUCAUAAACUUCCAUCUUUUC
rnacentral:lncRNA from 1 species